AUGACUGUCCCGUCGCUGUGCUCAUACUCUGAACGUUUCUUCGGAGCCGGGACGCGGCUCACCGUCCUAGAUCCGCUGUAUUUCGGGGCGGGCACCCGCCUCUCCGUUCUGGCCCAAGCCCUGAAUUUUGGGCCCGGGAGCCGGGUGAUCGUCCUGGGUAAGCGGUGUUGGGGAGGGCGAUGGGGGGCUCCGGGGGUCGGGAGUGGGCGGGGAGGGAAGGGGGAAGACGAGGACGAGCCCCGGGCGGUCCAGGUACCUGGGCUGGGGUCGGGAAAGUCGGACCCCGGGGGUGGGGACCGAUGUCCCGGGCCGGAGAUUUUGUUGGAGGCAGCGUCUCUGUGCUCCUCAUACGAGCAGCACUUCGGACCCGGAACCCACCUCACGGUCAUCGAUGACUUGCAAAAGGUGAAGCUCCCGAAGGUGACUCUGUUUGACCCAUCCGAGGAGGAGAUCAAUGAGUUGGGGAAGGCCACCUUGGUCUGCCUGGCCACGGGCUUCUUCCCCGACCACGUGGAGAUGAGCUGGUGGGUGGACGGCCGGGAGAUGCAGGACGGGGUCAGCACGGAUGCCCAGCCCUUGAAUGAGACCGAACCCGAGGCUUCGAACAGGACCUAUGCCCUGAGCAGUCGCCUCCGCGUCUCAGCGGGCUUCUGGCAGAACCCCUGGCGCCGCUUCCGCUGCCAGGUCCGCUUCUAUGGGCUCAAGGACAGUGACACAUGGAUUGACAGCACCCGGCCCAAACCCGUCACUCAGAACAUCAGCGCCGAGACCUGGGGAAAAGCAGACUGUGGAAUCACCGCAGCAUCCUACCAGAAGAGCAUCCAGUCAGCCACCUUCCUCUACGAGAUCCUCUUGGGGAAGGCCUUGGUCUAUGCAGUGUUGGUCAGCACCCUGGUGUGGAAGGCCAAGGCCAAAAAACAUGCUUUGUAAGGUGAUCGCAGCACCUCGUUCUCUCCCUUGGCAAUGGAAGAAGGAGAAGAGUCCUGGACAAUCCCUCCAGAACCCAGCUCUAAUCCCCCUCCCCCAAAGCCCUUUUCCCCGAAUCCCAGCUAUUAUCCCACCCCCAGCCCAGACCCAUCUCCCAGCAGAGUACGACUGUUCACCUGUCCAUCUGUCCUCUUGCCUAUCUGUCUGUCUGCCUGCCUGUCCAUCUGUCCACCUGUUUGUCCAUCAGGAGGUGAUAAAUUCUGACACAAAUAAAGAGAUCUUGGCUGACUCA